GAUGAAGAACGUAGCGAAAUGCGAUAAGUAAUGUGAAUUGCAGAAUUCAGUGAAUCAUCGAAUCUUUGAACGCACAUUGCGCCCGCCAGUAUUCUGGCGGGCAUGCCUGUUCGAGCGUCAUUUCAACCAUCAAGCCCCCGGCUUGUGUUGGGGACCUGCGGCUGCCGCAGGCCCUGAAAAGCAGUGGCGGGCUCGCUAGUCACACCGAGCGCAGUAGCACAUCUCGCUCAGGGCGUGCGGCGGGUUCUUGCCGUAAAACAACCCCCCCUUUUCACCAAGGUUGACCUCGGAUCAGGUAGGAAUACCCGCUGAACUUAAGCAUAUCAAUAAGCGGAGGA
rnacentral:misc_RNA from 1 species